rnacentral:lncRNA from 1 species
AAUAAAAGUGGAUAGGUAAAAUAUGAAAAUCAUAUAAAUCACAGUUCGUCCAAAAUUAAUUCAAGCCAAAUUUUAAGUCGAUAAAGCGACCACGCUAGAAUCACUGGACUCGGAGAAUGCCUUAUACUUUCUCACCGGCCAACAGAAUUUCUUACCCGGACUUUGUUUUCGCAGACCAAUAAUGAAAGAGCCAAAUCUUCCUUUGACUAGGGAUUCACAUAUAAGGUGAGGUGGAACACUGAAAUAUCAAUUUCAAGUGGCGACUCUGUAAAUAAAAUAAUCCCUACUCAUAUUCAUCAUUUCAAUUGAAAAAUUUUUUAACCGACAAAUCCACACAAUCAAUAACACAUAUCUUAUUUGCGGGGGUAGAAAAGGAGUGUGACAGCUCUAGGACUCUGCUAGGGACUACUAGAAUUCGAGCUU